GUCUCGUUUUUGGCCGCCAUACAGGACCCGCUGGGGGGAUCACGUCUUUCAGCUGGCCUGGGAUCGCCUCGGGAUCCCCCAGAGGGAGCUGGCAGAUGUUGCGGGGGCGAGGGACAUCUGGGUCACUCUGCUGGGCAAGUAGAGGGAAAUGGAUGGAUUCAUAGAUGCCUGUGUUCAGUGUCAAUCUGUCUACGUUCAAACAAGCAUCAAUCAGCAUCGACCUCGUAAUGCACAAUCGGAAGGAUACCGUCAUGAAAUCCACAAUUCAUUCAUUAUUCUUCUGUAAUUAUGAGUGAUUUACAAAGCAAAUCUUUUUGCCAAACAUUCCAUUUAAUACCAGCUGAACGUUAGAGGUGUACUGUGUAAGACGUAGCCACACGCCGAACAAACGUUUUAUCUUGGUUAAUACUUGCUGGAUACAAUGGACAAACCUGGCUAACCGGUUAGCACCCUCGUUUCAGUAGAAAACCACCUGCAACACAACAACCUUGCACACCGUGACCUCUUCACGCCGUUGAUUCAUCUGCGUGUAGCCUGGUCCCUCUCCUCCAGGACGGGCCCCGCGUGGGUCUCCUGAGGGUGGACGCACGUGCCGCUCACGGUGUGGAUCGGCGGCAGUUGGAGAUGCUGCAGGAGCAGGACUCGAUCAUCAUCACCUGCUGCAGGGUGAGCCGGUUUUCGUGGGCAACGGAAAACCAUCCGCGCCGUCCUGGUGUGGGAGGGGCUGCAGCAGCGUCCCUCCGGACAGGUCAGGGCGCAGAAGCGGCGGCGGUGGGCUCUGGAGCUCCAGCGUCCUCGCCAGCUCCAGCCGAAGGGACAGAGUUCCUUAUGGAACCAGCGUCCCCACCCAAAGGUUGUCCUCAUAGCGUGAGAGCAAGUAUUCACACUUCACCAGCAGCUUUCCACUCCUUCAUUAUUUACUCAUUAUACUUUAUUCUGCUUUUGCUUUCCUUUAGAUUUUUACAGCGCUGUGUGUCAGGGUUGGUGGUGAAGCCAGUUAUUAUUAUUCAUUAACAGCAGGGACGCCUGCAAGCAAGCGUUCACACUUCAGGUUGAAAAUUUCCCCGACUGUUUAUACUUCAGGUAAUUCCACUACAACAGAGAGGACUCGUCACUUAAUGAAGAGCAUAUUAAGAUGCGCCUCACCUGGGUGAUGAUGCACAGCAGCAAAGAGCAGAUGAGCUGUGUGUCUCUUCCGUCCAUCUUCCUCACCUCUGCCUCUGGAGCUCCUGCUGUUGUCCAUCCUCCCUCCCUUUGUCCUCCUCCUCCUCCUGUGGACGAGUGAUGUCUUUGUUACAGGUGCUGGUCCUUGUUCAUUUAUACAGUCCGAGUCGUGAUGUCAUAGGCGGUGGACCGCAAAGCAAACAGUGAGCGGAGAAGAAUCUUAACGCUUUCUGAACACCAGAUGGUUAAUAUCAAUAUAAUGAGGAUCAUACACACGUAUUUACCCACCAGAGUUUAUCCACAUGUUGUAAUUGUAUGAUAACUGCAGAGUGGCCAAAAUGGGCAAGUGGCAGAAAGCCGUCUCGCACGUGAAAGCUCCUGUUGUGGAUUCUUCUGAGGCCAGAUAACCGACACGCGUUGACCUCUGGAAUAACAGCUCGCCGAUUCAUUUUCCAGCUUCCUGCUGUCCCCAAGUGGCUGAAAU
ensembl:lncRNA